rnacentral:piRNA from 1 species
UGCUACCUGAUAAGGACAUUCACUGUUGC